rnacentral:rRNA from 2 species
AGAGUUUGAUCAUGGCUCAGAUUGAACGCUGGCGGCAGGCCUAACACAUGCAAGUCGAGCGGUAGCACAGAGAGCUUGCUCUCGGGUGACGAGCGGCGGACGGGUGAGUAAUGUCUGGGAAACUGCCUGAUGGAGGGGGAUAACUACUGGAAACGGUAGCUAAUACCGCAUAAUGUCGCAAGACCAAAGUGGGGGACCUUCGGGCCUCAUGCCAUCAGAUGUGCCCAGAUGGGAUUAGCUAGUAGGUGGGGUAAUGGCUCACCUAGGCGACGAUCCCUAGCUGGUCUGAGAGGAUGACCAGCCACACUGGAACUGAGACACGGUCCAGACUCCUACGGGAGGCAGCAGUGGGGAAUAUUGCACAAUGGGCGCAAGCCUGAUGCAGCCAUGCCGCGUGUGUGAAGAAGGCCUUCGGGUUGUAAAGCACUUUCAGCGGGGAGGAAGGCGUUAAGGUUAAUAACCUUGGCGAUUGACGUUACCCGCAGAAGAAGCACCGGCUAACUCCGUGCCAGCAGCCGCGGUAAUACGGAGGGUGCAAGCGUUAAUCGGAAUUACUGGGCGUAAAGCGCACGCAGGCGGUCUGUCAAGUCGGAUGUGAAAUCCCCGGGCUCAACCUGGGAACUGCAUUCGAAACUGGCAGGCUAGAGUCUUGUAGAGGGGGGUAGAAUUCCAGGUGUAGCGGUGAAAUGCGUAGAGAUCUGGAGGAAUACCGGUGGCGAAGGCGGCCCCCUGGACAAAGACUGACGCUCAGGUGCGAAAGCGUGGGGAGCAAACAGGAUUAGAUACCCUGGUAGUCCACGCCGUAAACGAUGUCGAUUUGGAGGUUGUGCCCUUGAGGCGUGGCUUCCGGAGCUAACGCGUUAAAUCGACCGCCUGGGGAGUACGGCCGCAAGGUUAAAACUCAAAUGAAUUGACGGGGGCCCGCACAAGCGGUGGAGCAUGUGGUUUAAUUCGAUGCAACGCGAAGAACCUUACCUGGUCUUGACAUCCACAGAACUUUCCAGAGAUGGAUUGGUGCCUUCGGGAACUGUGAGACAGGUGCUGCAUGGCUGUCGUCAGCUCGUGUUGUGAAAUGUUGGGUUAAGUCCCGCAACGAGCGCAACCCUUAUCCUUUGUUGCCAGCGGUCCGGCCGGGAACUCAAAGGAGACUGCCAGUGAUAAACUGGAGGAAGGUGGGGAUGACGUCAAGUCAUCAUGGCCCUUACGACCAGGGCUACACACGUGCUACAAUGGCAUAUACAAAGAGAAGCGACCUCGCGAGAGCAAGCGGACCUCAUAAAGUAUGUCGUAGUCCGGAUUGGAGUCUGCAACUCGACUCCAUGAAGUCGGAAUCGCUAGUAAUCGUAGAUCAGAAUGCUACGGUGAAUACGUUCCCGGGCCUUGUACACACCGCCCGUCACACCAUGGGAGUGGGUUGCAAAAGAAGUAGGUAGCUUAACCUUCGGGAGGGCGCUUACCACUUUGUGAUUCAUGACUGGGGUGAAGUCGUAACAAGGUAACCGUAGGGGAACCUGCGGUUGGAUCACCU